rnacentral:rRNA from 1 species
UACGGAGGAUGCAAGCGUUAUCCGGAAUGAUUGGGCGUAAAGCGUCCGCAGGUGGCUAUGUAAGUCUGCUGUUAAAGAGUGAGGCUCAACCUCAUAAGAGCAGUGGAAACUACAUAGCUAGAGUGCGUUCGGGGCAGAGGGAAUUCCUGGUGUAGCGGUGAAAUGCGUAGAUAUCAGGAAGAACACCGGUGGCGAAAGCGUUCUGCUAGACCUGUACUGACACUGAGGGACGAAAGCUAGGGGAGCGAAUGGG